CGUAGGGUGCGAGCGUUAAUCGGAAUUACUGGGCGUAAAGCGUGCGCAGGCGGUUUUGUAAGCCAGAUGCGAAAUCCCCGGGCUCAACCUGGGAAUGGCAUUUGGGACUGCAAGGCUGGAGUGUGGCAGAGGAGACUGGAAUUCCUGGUGUAGCAGUGAAAUGCGUAGAUAUCAGGAGGAAUACCGAUGGCGAAGGCAGGUCUCUGGGCUAACACUGACGCUCAUGCACGAAAGCGUGGGGAGCAAACAGGAUUAGAUACCCUGGUAGUCCACGCCCUAAACGAUGUCGACUGGUUGUUGGGGGUUUGACACUCUCAGUAACGAAGCUAACGCGUGAAGUCGACCGCCUGGGGAGUACGGCCGCAAGGUUA
rnacentral:rRNA from 1 species